GACGAACGCUGGCGGCGUGCUUAACACAUGCAAGUCGAACGGAAAGGCCCUGCUUUUGUGGGGUGCUCGAGUGGCGAACGGGUGAGUAACACGUGAGUAACCUGCCCUUGACUUUGGGAUAACUUCAGGAAACUGGGGCUAAUACCGGAUAGGAGCUCCUGCUGCAUGGGGGGGGGUGGAAAGUUUCGGCGGGUGGGGAUGGACUCGCGGCUUAUCAGCUUGUUGGUGGGGUAGUGGCUUACCAAGGCUUUGACGGGUAGCCGGCCUGAGAGGGUGACCGGCCACAUUGGGACUGAGAUACGGCCCAGACUCCUACGGGAGGCAGCAGUGGGGAAUAUUGCACAAUGGGCGGAAGCCUGAUGCAGCAACGCCGCGUGCGGGAUGACGGCCUUCGGGUUGUAAACCGCUUUCGCCUGUGACGAAGCGUGAGUGACGGUAAUGGGUAAAGAAGCACCGGCUAACUACGUG
rnacentral:rRNA from 1 species